UACAGAGGUCUCAAGCGUUGUUCGGAUUCAUUGGGCGUAAAGGGUGCGUAGGCGGCGCGUUAAGUCGGGUGUGAAAUCUUGGAGCUUAACUCCGAAACUGCAUUCGAUACUGCCGUGCUUGAGGACUGGAGAGGAGACUGGAAUUUACGGUGUAGCGGUGAAAUGCGUAGAUAUCGUAAGGAAGACCAGUGGCGAAGGCGGGUCUCUGGACAGUUCCUGACGCUGAGGCACGAAGGUCAGGGGAGCAAACGGG
rnacentral:rRNA from 1 species